UCUCAGACUGCUGUGCUAGCAAUCAGCGAGACUCUGUGGGCGCAGGACCCUCCGAGCCAGGUGUGGGAUAUAAUCUCGUGGUGCACCGUUUUUUAAGCCGGUCGGAAAAGCGCAGUAUUCGGGUAGGAGUGACCCGAUUUUCCAUGUGCCAUCCGUCACCCCUUUCUUUGACUCAGAAAGGGAACUCCCUGACCCCUUGCGCUUCCCAAGUGAGGCAAUGCCUCGCCCUGCUUCGGCUCGCGCACGGUGCAUGCACCCAGUGACCUGCCCCCACUGUCUGGCACUCCCUAGUGAGAUGAACCCGGUACCUCAGAUGGAAAUGCAGAAAUCACCCGUCUUCUGCGUCGCUCACGCUGGGAGCUGUAGACCGGAGCUGUUCCUAUUCGGCCAUCUUGGCUCCUCGAUCUCCGGUGACUGCUUUUAAGUUGCAUAGCCAAUGAGUUAAGGACACUUCGCUAGGGAUGGACCAUCAAUGAAGAGUUCUGAGUUGGAUACCUGUUUAGAAGCUAAUAUUAAUGUAUAAACCUGCCAAUGUUAGGAAGAAAAUGCUAAAGUUCAAUAAAAAACAUUUUCUUUUACUCAAGUAAACAUUUGAUAUCAUAACCAAUAGACUUUAUGUUUACCUUCCCUUCAGGAUUUAACCUCCAGGUAAGUUUUCUCGUAUUUGAUUGUGG
rnacentral:lncRNA from 1 species